GGGUUGUGAGGUUAAGCGACUAAGCGUACACGGUGGAUGCCCUGGCAGUCAGAGGCGAUGAAGGGCGUGCUAAUCUGCGAUAAGCGCCGGUAAGGUGAUAUGAACCGUUAUAACCGGCGAUACCCGAAUGGGGAAACCCAGUGUGACUCGUCACACUAUCAUUAACUGAAUCCAUAGGUUAAUGAGGCGAACCGGGGGAACUGAAACAUCUAAGUACCCCGAGGAAAAGAAAUCAACCGAGAUUCCCCCAGUAGCGGCGAGCGAACGGGGAGGAGCCCAGAGCCUGAAUCGCAUGUGUGUUAGUGGAAGCGUCUGGAAAGGCGCGCGAUACAGGGUGACAGCCCCGUACACAAAAGCGCAUGUGCUGUGAGCUCGAUGAGUAGGGCGGGACACGUGGUAUCCUGUCUGAAUAUGGGGGGACCAUCCUCCAAGGCUAAAUACUCCUGACUGACCGAUAGUGAACCAGUACCGUGAGGGAAAGGCGAAAAGAACCCCGGCGAGGGGAGUGAAAAAGAACCUGAAACCGUGUACGUACAAGCAGUGGGAGCCCCACCACUAAGCCAGUGGUGAACUCCACAUACGCAUCCUUUGCUGAGGAUACGGUUAACGGAGCGCAAGCGACGUUCAACCGCAAAAGAAGCAGAGGGGGCUUAGUGGUGGGGUGACUGCGUACCUUUUGUAUAAUGGGUCAGCGACUUAUAUUCUGUAGCAAGGUUAACCGUAUAGGGGAGCCG
rnacentral:rRNA from 1 species